rnacentral:rRNA from 1 species
CGCGUGAAUGAUGAAGGCCUUCGGGUUGUAAAAUUCUGCCAUAAGGGAAGAAUGGCUCUAGUAGGAAAUGGCUAGAGUGUGACGGUACCUUAUGAGAAAGCCACGGCUAACUACGUGCCAGCAGCCGCGGUAAUACGUAGGUGGCGAGCGUUAUCCGGAAUUAUUGGGCGUAAAGAGCGCGCAGGUGGUUGAUUAAGUCUGAUGUGAAAGCCCACGGCUUAACCGUGGAGGGUCAUUGGAAACUGGUCAACUUGAGUGCAGAAGAGGGAAGUGGAAUUCCAUGUGUAGCGGUGAAAUGCGUAGAGAUAUGGAGGAACACCAGUGGCGAAGGCGGCUUCCUGGUCUGUAACUGACACUGAGGCGCGAAAGCGUGGGGAGCAAACAGGAUUAGAUACCCUGGUAGUCCACGCCGUAAACGAUGAGUGCU